rnacentral:rRNA from 1 species
GUGGGGAAUAUUGGACAAUGGGCGCAAGCCUGAUCCAGCCAUGCCGCGUGAGUGAUGAAGGCCUUAGGGUUGUAAAGCUCUUUCACCGAUGAAGAUAAUGACGGUAGUCGGAGAAGAAGCCCCGGCUAACUUCGUGCCAGCAGCCGCGGUAAUACGAAGGGGGCUAGCGUUGUUCGGAUUUACUGGGCGUAAAGCGCACGUAGGCGGUUUGUUAAGUCAGGGGUGAAAUCCCGGAGCUCAACUCCGGAACUGCCUUUGAUACUGGCAAGCUAGAGUCCGGAAGAGGUAAGUGGAACUCCUAGUGUAGAGGUGGAAUUCGUAGAUAUUAGGAAGAACACCAGUGGCGAAGGCGGCUCACUGGUCUGGUACUGACGCUGAGGUGCGAAAGCGUGGGGAGCAAACAGGAUUAGAAACCCCGGUAGUCC